rnacentral:rRNA from 1 species
AACGAACGCUGGCGGCAUGCCUAACACAUGCAAGUCGAACGAGACCUUCGGGUCUAGUGGCGCACGGGUGCGUAACGCGUGGGAACCUGCCCUUAUGUUCGGAAUAACUCCCCGAAAGGGGUGCUAAUACCGGAUAAUGUCUUCGGACCAAAGAUUUAUCGCCGUUGGAUGGGCCCGCGUUGGAUUAGCUAGUUGGUAGGGUAAAAGCCUACCAAGGCGACGAUCCAUAGCUGGUCUGAGAGGAUGAUCAGCCACACUGGGACUGAGACACGGCCCAGACUCCUACGGGAGGCAGCAGUGGGGAAUAUUGGACAAUGGGCGAAAGCCUGAUCCAGCAAUGCCGCGUGAGUGAUGAAGGCCUUAGGGUUGUAAAGCUCUUUUACCCGGGAUGAUAAUGACAGUACCGGGAGAAUAAGCUCCGGCUAACUCCGUG